AAGGUUUGUAGAUAUUUUGUGUAAGCAUACAGUUGGACCAGAGACCGCUGACUCCCAGCAUGCAUAUGGUCAUGACAGCCUAACACAGUAACUCAGCAUCUCCAUAGCAACCAGCCAGAAGCAGAUGAAAAGGCCCAUCCAGGGUUCGGCCUUAAAAGCUGAGAGAAUCAGAUAGUCGGGAAUCCUACACCCAGACCAUUGGGCCAAUAAUAUGUAGAAGCUGUUGCCUAGCCUACAACUUUGUCAUCAAGAGUGCUGGAACUGUACUAAUUCCUGGAUGGCUGAGACUUACAUCUUUCUGUGGUGCCUCGCCAUGUCUUCAAGUCACUCCCGGGGAGGUCCAUCUCCUCCUGGACCACCAGAUGUUCCUCCUGUGCCAAAGCCUGAUCAUCCCUUGGUUCCAGUUCCAGAGAAGCCUUGGCCUGAGGGACCUCCCAAACCUGAAGGCCCUCAACCACUGGGGCCCCUUAUGCCUGGAAAGCCUUGGCCAAAAGGCCCCCCUGCAUCUCCAGAUACUAGGCAACCAAGAUCUCCUCAGCCACCAGCACCUUUAGGACCUACUAGUCCAGGACCAUUUCCAGGACCAUCCAGUCCUCCAAAGCCACCCCUGCCUGAUGAUCCUUAUUUACCUUUUCCUCUGCUGCCCAUUGCACCUUGGCCACCAAUUCCUGAAUGGGACGAUUCAGAGAAACCUCCAGAAAAGCCUUCUACAGAGGAUUAACUUAUCUUCCAACAUGUUUUUCAAGCAAAUCUCUGUCUGAUACAGAACAAUACAGUAUUGUACUUUCUCCCAAAUGUAGGUAUUCCUAAAGACAUCCGAUGUCCGCAAAGGUUAUUUUGAUGCAGAAUAGUCUCUAGUGGAAAUCUUUCCAGAGUAGUUUUUGAACAUUGAGCAGAAGAAAGAAGACAAUGUAGUCACUCGAUACUUAUUACUGGUUAAGGAAACAACUCCAAAACUGGGCAGAUUCUACUUACCUGUGAGCUAAUUAACAUGUCCCGGAGCAGCGCUAAUUAACCUACUCAUUCAGUAAUAUUGCGCUUUGACUUGCGCUUGUCAUCACUGAUUUCUCUCUUUCUUUUUUGUUUAAUCCAG